GACGGGUGAGUAAUACUUAUGAAUCUACCUAGUAGUGGGGGAUAGCUCGGGGAAACUCGAAUUAAUACCGCAUACGACCUACGGGAGAAAGGGGGCAACUUGUUGCUCUCGCUAUUAGAUGAGCCUAAGUCGGAUUAGCUAGAUGGUGGGGUAAAGGCCUACCAUGGCGACGAUCUGUAGCUGGUCUGAGAGGAUGAUCAGCCACACCGGGACUGAGACACGGCCCGGACUCCUACGGGAGGCAGCAGUGGGGAAUAUUGGACAAUGGGGGCAACCCUGAUCCAGCCAUGCCGCGUGUGUGAAGAAGGCCUUUUGGUUGUAAAGCACUUUAAGCAGUGAAGAAGACUCCAUGGUUAAUACCCAUGGACGAUGACAUUAGCUGCAGAAUAAGCACCGGCUAACUCUGUGCCAGCAGCCGCGGUAAUACAGAGGGUGCAAGCGUUAAUCGGAAUUACUGGGCGUAAAGCGAGCGUAGGUGGCUUGAUAAGUCAGAUGUGAAAGCCCCGGGCUUAACCUGGGAACGGCAUCUGAUACUGUUAGGCUAGAGUAGGUGAGAGGAAGGUAGAAUUCCAGGUGUAGCGGUGAAAUGCGUAGAGAUCUGGAGGAAUACCGAUGGCGAAAGGCAGCCUUCUGGCAUCAUACUGACACUGAGGUUCGAAAGCGUGGGUAGCAAACAGGAUUAGAUACCCUGGUAGUCCACGCCGUAAACGAUGUCUACUAGUCGUUGGGUCCCUUGAGGACUUAGUGACGCAGCUAACGCAAUAAGUAGACCGCCUGGGGAGUACGGCCGCAAGGUUAAAACUCAAAUGAAUUGACGGGGGCCCGCACAAGCGGUGGAGCAUGUGGUUUAAUUCGAUGCAACGCGAAGAACCUUACCUGGUCUUGACAUAUCUAGAAUCCUGCAGAGAUGCGGGAGUGCCUUCGGGAAUUAGAAUACAGGUGCUGCAUGGCUGUCGUCAGCUCGUGUCGUGAGAUGUUGGGUUAAGUCCCGCAACGAGCGCAACCCUUGUCCUUAGUUACCAGCGGUUUGGCCGGGAACUCUAAGGAUACUGCCAGUGACAAACUGGAGGAAGGCGGGGACGACGUCAAGUCAUCAUGGCCCUUACGACCAGGGCUACACACGUGCUACAAUGGUAGGUACAGAGGGCAGCUACACAGCGAUGUGAUGCGAAUCUCAAAAAGCCUAUCGUAGUCCAGAUUGGAGUCUGCAACUCGACUCCAUGAAGUAGGAAUCGCUAGUAAUCGCGGAUCAGAAUGCCGCGGUGAAUACGUUCCCGGGCCUUGUACACACCGCCCGUCACACCAUAGGGAGUUGAUUGCACCAGAAGUGGAUAGCUUA
rnacentral:rRNA from 1 species